CCUACGGGAGGCAGCAGUGGGGAAUAUUGCACAAUGGGGGAAACCCUGAUGCAGCGACGCCGCGUGAAGGACGAAGUAUUUCGGUACGUAAACUUCUAUCAGCAGGGAAGAAAAUGACGGUACCUGACCAAGAAGCCCCGGCUAACUACGUGCCAGCAGCCGCGGUAAUACGUAGGGGGCAAGCGUUAUCCGGAUUUACUGGGUGUAAAGGGAGCGCAGACGGCAGUGCAAGUCUGGUGUGAAAGCCCGGGGCCCAACCCCGGAACUGCUCUGGAAACUGUGCGGCUAGAGUACUGGAGGGGCAGGCGGAAUUCCUAGUGUAGCGGUGAAAUGCGUAGAUAUUAGGAGGAACACCAGUGGCGAAGGCGGCCUGCUGGACAGUAACUGACGUUGAGGCUCGAAAGCGUGGGGAGCAAACAGGAUUAGAUACCCUUGUAGUC
rnacentral:rRNA from 1 species